UGAGGAAUAUUGGUCAAUGGGCGAGAGCCUGAACCAGCCAAGUAGCGUGCAGGAAGACGGCCCUAUGGGUUGUAAACUGCUUUUAUGCGGGGAUAAAGUGAGGGACGUGUCCUUCAUUGCAGGUACCGCAUGAAUAAGGACCGGCUAAUUCCGUGCCAGCAGCCGCGGUAAUACGGAAGGUCCGGGCGUUAUCCGGAUUUAUUGGGUUUAAAGGGAGCGUAGGCCAUGGAUUAAGCGUGUUGUGAGAUGCAGGUGCUCAACGUCUGCACUGCAGCGCGAACUGGUUCACUUGAGUGUGCACAACGCAGGCGGAAUUCGUCGUGUAGCGGUGAAAUGCUUAGAUAUGACGAAGAACUCCGAUUGCGAAGGCAGCUUGCGGGAGCACAACUGACGCUGAAGCUCGAAAGUGCGGGUAUCGAACAGGAUUGGAUACCCUGGUAGUCCGCACGGUAAACGAUGGAUGCCCGUUGUCAGGCUGUUUCAGUCUGGUGACCAAGCGAAAGCAUUAAGCAUCCCACCUGGGGAGUACGCCGGCAACGGUG
rnacentral:rRNA from 1 species